UUUAUAUUUCAGUCGCUCAACUUUGAAUUAAAACCUGAAGACCUGAAGCUGCUAAUGGAUCUUAACAGGGACUACCGAGUAUGCGUAAUGGAAUGGACUUCUGAUCACAAAGAUCAUCCAUUUCCACUUGUGUCAUAGGUCAGAGUGAUGCAAGGGACUGUUUGAAAAACAUAGUGUUGACAAGAAUCCAUUGAUGCUGGUUUAAAAACAGGGGAUUCAAAUCUACUGGUGUUUUAUAUAUAAAGAUAAUAAUAGUAGACAAUUACCAAUAGGUCUCCUGAGUAAGGGUUAUUGAAGGAGGCUGUUCUAUACAAUCAAUUAAUUUGUCAGUCAAUCAAUAAAAUCAGUCAAUCAAUCAAUCAGACAAUCAAUCAAUCAAUCAAUCAAUCAGACUAUCAAUCAAUCAGACUAUCAAUUAAUCAGUCAAUUAAUCAGUCAGUCAGUAAAUCAGUGAGCUCUGAAGUAGAAACCUAUUUUUGUUUACCAAUGCCGUCAGUGGUGGGGAUGGAAUUACCAUGGCAACUAUAGUGGCAGAAUACAAGGUGGUAAUAAGCAGGCAAAUCCUAUUAAUAUGUGUAAUUUAUCAGAAAAAUUAUACUGUUUGACAUCAGUACAAUAAUGCAUAGGGAGUAAUUCAGGCUAUAUGUAAUUUAAUGGUUAAAUUAGACCAAUAAAGUAAGCCCAUAACAGAUUUUGUAGUUUUUUUUUUUUUUUUUAAUCAAACAAAGUGAACAUAUUUUUGUUAAUACAGUAAAUUAUGAACUGCUGCAUAUUAUGAUUAAAACAUCAUUACUGUAACGAAA